rnacentral:rRNA from 1 species
GACGUAGGAUGCGAGCGUUGUCCGGAUUUAUUGGGCGUAAAGAGUUCGUAGGCGGUUCGUUAAGUCUGGUGUUAAAGAUCAAGGCUCAACCUUGGGAUUGCAUUGGAUACUGGCGGACUUGAGUGCAGUAGAGGCGAGUGGAAUUCUCAGUGUAGCGGUGAAAUGCGUAGAUAUUGGGAAGAACACCGGUGGCGCAGGCGACUCGCUGGGCUGUAACUGACGCUGAGGAACGAAAGCUAGGGGAGCAAAUGGG